GCGUGUCCUCUCAUGGGGGUAGCCACUCAGUUCAGCUCUGGACAGAGGAGACUGGCGAUUUGGAUCUGCCGUAGUGUUGUUCUGGCCGUCUUGGGCGAGGAGGUUCCGGCCAUCGGUGCUGCUUUCCCCGGCUGCUUCUUGGGCGGAGGAGGUUCUGGCCGUCGGUGUUGCUUUCCCCGGCUGCUUCUUGGGCGGAGGAGGUUCCGGCCGUCGGUGCUGCUUUCCCCGGUUGCUUCUUGGGCGGAGGAGGGAGCUUGGUCCAUCUGUUCACCCAGCCGCCUGGAUUCAUAGGGGAUAUGUCCACGAUUCAACGCCCACCCGACGUUGUCACCAAGGUAAUAAAUAAUCCAUUCUAAUCCAUCCUGAUUCUCCUGAAGAAGCAUAUUCGCUUGAUUAGCAGGGUCUUCUACAACAGUAUUAUGCUCAUGCAAAUCACCACAGAUAGCAGCAUCUAAUUUAACUUGAUUGAUAAGUACUUAGAAAAGGCAAGCUAACAUACCAUGUACAAUAACCAUCCUGGACAUCUGGAUGUCCAGUAUUACAGUGGAAUGAGUUGAUUUUGCACCUGUAAAACUGAAACUGAUUUCUAACUUCCUCUCCUUCAGCAGGGUGAUCUGCAUUGGUUUUAGACAUCAAUCUAUAUAGCCCCGGUCUUCCAAUCUAUGGUUGAGCUUUAUCUUCUGCUGGUAUGCGGCGACAUCAAGCAGAGUCAUCAUUGACAAAUGGAUCUGUUUAAGAUUGUUUGAUGUCAGGUAUGGACUUCAAUCAUAUAGUAAAAAGGCAAUAGGAGAGACACAUGAAACACAAUUUGGCCCUAAAGCAUAUGCUAACAAUGGGGUGUUACUGAUAAGCAACCUUGAUUUGGUAUAUGUGAGACAAGUUGUCAUAUAGUUCUAAGCAUGUUUCUAUAAACUGUUGUAAUUAGGCUAGGGUAAUUUAUAAAGAUGAUGGCCAUAGAACAUAAAUACUCUCUCUGUACACUAAUAUAAGACAUUUUUGCAGUUCAAUUUAAACUGCAAAAACGUCUUAUGUUAGUGUAAAAAGGGAGUAUGAUAUAGAUGAAGUAAACACUGCAUUUUCAC
rnacentral:lncRNA from 1 species